rnacentral:rRNA from 1 species
UUAAGAUCCUUAAAUUCAAAGAAUUUGGCGGUAAUUAAGUCUUUUUAGAGGAACCUGUUCUGUAAUUGAUAAUCCACGAUUGAUUUUACUUUAUUUAUUACUUGUAUAUCUCUGUCAUGAAUGUAUUAUUAGAUUAAUUUUCUUUAUAUUUUAGUAAAUGAAUGUUAGGUCAAGGUGCAGUUUAUUAUAAAGUAGAAAUGGGUUACAAUGAUUAAUUUAUUUGGAAAUUUAUUUGGAAAUUUAAGUUGAAAUUGGAUUUAAAAGUAAAAAAUUUUUAGCAAAAAAGAAUUGAUUUUAGCUCUUAAUUAU